GGGUGCUUGCUUUGGCCACACAUAUACUAAAAUUGGAACAAUACAGAGAAGAUUAGCAUGACUCCUGCAUAAGAAUGCCAUGCAAAUUCCUGAAGUAUUCCAUAUUUUU
rfam:Canis lupus familiaris chromosome 21, whole genome shotgun sequence.